rnacentral:tRNA from 1 species
AAGAAAGUGACAUAGCAGUUAUGUGCUUGGCUUGAAACCGAGUUAUGGGGGUUCGAUUCCUCCCUUUCUCG